GACGAACGCUGGCGGCGUGCUUAACACAUGCCAGUCGAACGGAAAGGCCCUGCUUUUGUGGGGUGCUCGAGUGGCGAACGGGUGAGUAACACGUGAGUAACCUGCCCUUGACUUUGGGAUAACUUCAGGAAACUGGGGCUAAUACCGGAUAGGAGCUCCUGCUGCAUGGUGGGGGUUGGAAAGUUUCGGCGGUUGGGGAUGGACUCGCGGCUUAUCAGCUUGUUGGUGGGGUAGUGGCUUACCAAGGCUUUGACGGGUAGCCGGCCUGAGAGGGUGACCGGCCACAUUGGGACUGAGAGACGGCCCAGACGCCUACGGGAGGCAGCAGUGGGGAAUAUUGCACAAUGGGCGGAAGCCUGAUGAAGCAACGCCGCGUGCGGGAUGACGGCCUUCGGGUUGUAAACCGCUUUCGCCUGUGACGAAGCGUGAGUGACGGUAAUGGGUAAAGAAGCACCGGCUAACUACGUG
rnacentral:rRNA from 1 species